AUGGAUCCCAUCCCAUUGGGAGGACACGUGUCUUGGCACAAAAGUGCAGUGCUGCAGGCAAUCUCUUUUUUUCUUUUCAUGAGGCCUCAGCCUGAAUUGAACCUGGACUGCUGAGUCACCGAGCGCUUGACGGUGAAAGGCAGAGAAAGAGAGCGGGGAGAGAAGGGAGAGAUGAAGGAGAAAGAACUCGGCAGGUGGUGGGCACUGCCGCAGCUUCAGCCCGCGGAGUCUUUUCAGCUGGCACACAACUGCUAGGCUGCCACAGAGGCCCUGCUUUCCAUCAGAAUAUUCCCCCUCUCUUCCCCCUCUUUAAACGAUAAACGAGGAGAACAGGCUUGGGCCAGAAUAAUAGGAUCCUUUCUUUCUGCCUCUGCCAUGUGUGAGGACAGGAACAAUGGCAGGGACCGGGAGGGGAAAUGAUUCAAAGUGAGAUUUUCACCUGCUCCCUUCAACCCCGGCUCUACUCCUUUCAGAGCAUGCUAAUGCCAGUUCAUUUACAAAGUAGUACUGUAAGCUGUAUCACACAGGCACACACAAAAAUGCAGAGAUCCUUUUUUUCUCUUUGUGAUGGACAGUUUAGAUUAUUGUGCUCCAAGACAUCCAUUUUGGUAAUCAUACUCAUUAUCAUCAUUAUCUCAUUUUCAGAGCUAAGUAAGAAUUAGGGACUGGCUGAUCUGCUUUGAGGUGCAGUCUUUGUUUUUGGUUUUUGUUCAGUCAGAAUGGCAGUUGUGAAUUUUUCUUCCACUUUAUUUUGUGAGGGGAUGCUGGUGGUUGUCUUUAAGAGAAAUCUGAGUGGCUUUGAGUAAAUGUUUCCUGUCAUCUCUAAAAAGUUUUGCAAUACUUAUGACCUGAUCCAAGGACAUGUAAGAAGGCUGGAUGCCCUUCACACCUAAUUUGAAGGUUCUUCAAAAACUAACUUAUGUCUGUGAAGUCUUGGUGCCUUUUUGAAAAUUAGCAACAGUUCUCCUUCAUAAGGAGCUUCAGUCUAGGGAUGAAAAUAUUGCUUAUUAAGUGACAAAACAAUCUCACCUCUCUCAGUCUCAGCUAAAAUAUACCCAGUUGUUGCGGAUACAUAGAUGUUCAAAUUUUAUUUAUUUACUUAAUCUCCCUAGCAUUUCUUGUCCACAUUGGCUUGAAAGUUUCAGCAGCCGCAGACAAAACAUUUUAAAACACUAGAAAAAAUUAUUUGUGUCCUGGUGCUGAGAAAGUCUGAUAGAGUUUAAAUAGGCCUUGAGGUGAGAUUGUUUUGUCAGCUGUUGGUCAAUGAUGACCUUUAAAACUCAAUUGAUCACUCAAUCAACAGGAAAAUUAACAACAAUUUUGAUAUCAUUUAGGUCAUUCAUCAAGCAAAAAUUUCAAACUUCUACAUUCAAUAUUCUAGAUCCAGCUUGUCAAAUGUGAGCAGUUGCUGCUUUUAUCUGUUUUAUAGUGUAAAUGAAAAAUCUUGGACUAUUGGCCAGAUGAAACGAGUAAACUGAAGACGUCAUCUUGGGCUCUGGAAUACUGUGAAGGGCAUAUUUAUGAUGUUUAAUCAAAUACAUCAUUAAUUAAAAGGGGAAAAAAGGAAACAGAUUAAUUGAUCAUGAAAUCAAUUGCUAAUUGCAGCUAUCCUUCAUUUGGUUAACAGGAGUCUAAUAUUAAAGCCACAUUUAGGGCAAACAUUAAAACUCUUCACAAUGCAAAGUGUCCUCUAAAUAUGAGGUCAACCACUGUUCGCUACUGUUUCUCAUUCAUUUGCCCUCAAUAAUGAGACAUACAGUACAAUCAAGUCAUAAACAGUGCAAGGAAAUCAUGAGGGGAAAGGUAUUUGUCUCAGAGCAAUCAGCGUCAUGGGUAAACUCAUUUGCUCUCUAAUCUCCUCCCCUUUGUACUAAUUUGUUUAUCUCUUCCCCUCAGUGUAUGUGUGUGUGUGUGUGUGUGUAGGUGUGUGUUUAUAUUGCGGUUGUAAUUUCCUUUUGGUGGUGAGUGAAUUAAAACUUGCUCCUAAUUUAUCAUUCAC